rnacentral:rRNA from 1 species
AACGAACGCUGGCGGCAGGCUUAACACAUGCAAGUCGAGCGCCCCGCAAGGGGAGCGGCAGACGGGUGAGUAACGCGUGGGAAUCUACCCAUCUCUACGGAAUAACGCAUGGAAACGCGUGCUAAUACCGUAUGCGUCCUUCGGGAGAGAGAUUUAUCGAAGAUGGAUGAGACCGCGUUGGAUUAGCUAGUUGGUGGGGUAAAGGCCUACCAAGGCGACGAUCCAUAGCUGGUCUGAGAGGAUGAGCAGCCACACUGGGAGUGAGACACGGCCCAGACUCCUACGGGAGGCAGCAGUGGGGAAUAUUGGACAAUGGGCGCAAGCCUGAUCCAGCCAGGCCGCGUGAGUGAUGAAGGCCCUAGGGUUGUAAAGCUCUUUCACCGGUGAAGAUAAUGACGGUAACCGGAGAAGAAGCCCCGGCUAACUUCGUGCCAGCCGCCGCCGUAAAAC